rnacentral:rRNA from 1 species
GAUGAACGCUGGCGGCGUGCCUAAUACAUGCAAGUAGAACGCUGAAGCUUGGUUCUUGCACCGAGCGGAUGAGUUGCAAACGGGUGAGUAACGCGUAGGUAACCUGCCUCUUAGCGGGGGAUAACUAUUGGAAACGUUAGCUAAUACCGCAUAACAUGUGACAUUGCAUGAUUUUGAUUUGAAAUAUGCAAUUGCAUCACUAAGAGAUGGACCUGCGUUGUAUUAGCUAGUUGGUGAAGUAACGGCUCACCAAGGCGACGAUACAUAGCCGACAUGAGAGGGUGAUCGGCCACACUGGGACUGAGACACGGCCCAGACUCCUACGGGAGGCAGCAGUAGGGAAUCCUCGGCAAUGGACGGAAGUCUGACCGAGAAACGCCGAGUGAGUGAAGAAGGUUUUCGGAUCGUAAAGAUCUGUUGUAAGAGAAGAAAGAGUGUGAGAGUGGAAAGUUCACAAUGUGACGGUAACCUAUCAGAAAGGGACGGCUAACUACGUG